rnacentral:pre_miRNA from 1 species
UUAUUUAGGGCUUGGUCCAAACCUGAUUGAAGUCAAUGGGAAUCUUUCCAUUGACUUCAGUGGGACUUGGAUCAGGCCCGUAGUCAC